CCUACGGGAGGCAGCAGUGAGGAAUAUUGGUCAAUGGGCGAGAGCCUGAACCAGCCAAGUCGCGUGAAGGAUGACGGCCCUACGGGUUGUAAACUUCUUUUGUCAGGGAGCAAUUGAGUCCACGUGUGGGCUUAGCGAGAGUACCUGAAGAAAAAGCAUCGGCUAACUCCGUGCCAGCAGCCUCGGUAAUACGGGGGAUGCGAGCGUUAUCCGGAUUUUUUGGGGUAAAAGGGUGCGUAGGCGGAAUAUCAAGUCAGCGGUAACAAUUCGGGGCUCAACCCCGUCGUGCCGUUGAAACUGAUGUUCUUGAGUGGGCGAGAGGUAUGCGGAAUGCGUGGUGUAGCGGUGAAAUGCAUAGAUAUCGCGCAGAACUCCGGUUGCGAAGGCAGCAUACCGGCGACCAACUGACGCUGAAGCACGAAAGCGAGGGUAUCGAACAGGAUUAGAUACCCGGGUAGUC
rnacentral:rRNA from 1 species